rnacentral:tRNA from 3 species
GGCCCCGUGGCUCAACUGGAUAGAGCGGCCCCCUCCUAAGGGGCAGGUUAUAGGUUCGAAUCCUAUCGGGGUCACCA